rnacentral:rRNA from 1 species
GACGAACGCUGGUGGCGUGCUUAACACAUGCAAGUCGAACGGAGAUAAUAGUAAUAUUAUCUUAGUGGCGGACGGGUGAGUAACGCGUGGGCAACUUGCCUCAGACUGGGGGAUAACACAGGGAAACUUGUGCUAAUACCGCAUAACAUCAUCGUGGGACAUCCUAUGAUGAUCAAAGGAGUAAUCCGGUUUGAGAUGGGCCCGCGUCCGAUUAGCUAGUUGGCGGUGUAAUGGACCACCAAGGCGACGAUCGGUAGCCGAACUGAGAGGUUGAUCGGCCACAUUGGGACUGAGACACGGCCCAGACUCCUACGGGAGGCAGCAGUGGGGAAUAUUGCACAAUGGGGGAAACCCUGAUGCAGCAACGCCGCGUGAAGGAUGAAGGUUUUCGGAUUGUAAACUUCUUUGAUUGGGGACGAAUAAUGACGGUACCCAAAAAACAAGCCACGGCUAACUACGUGCCAGCCGCCGCGGUAA